rnacentral:rRNA from 1 species
UUAAGCGACUAAGCGUACACGGUGGAUGCCCUGGCAGUCAGAGGCGAUGAAGGACGUGCUAAUCUGCGAAAAGCGUCGGUAAGGUGAUAUGAACCGUUAUAACCGGCGAUGUCCGAAUGGGGAAACCCAGUGCAAUUCGUUGCACUAUCGUUAACUGAAUACAUAGGUUAACGAGGCGAACCGGGGGAACUGAAACAUCUAAGUACCCCGAGGAAAAGAAAUCAACCGAGAUUCCCCCAGUAGCGGCGAGCGAACGGGGAGCAGCCCAGAGUCUGAAUCAGCUUGUGUGUUAGUGGAACGGUCUGGAAAGUCCGACGGUACAGGGUGAUAGUCCCGUACACCAAAAUGCACAGGCUGUGAACUCGAAGAGUAGGGCGGGACACGUGGUAUCCUGUCUGAAUAUGGGGGGACCAUCCUCCAAGGCUAAAUACUCCUGACUGACCGAUAGUGAACCAGUACCGUGAGGGAAAGGCGAAAAGAACCCCGGCGAGGGGAGUGAAAAAGAACCUGAAACCGUGUACGUACAAGCAGUGGGAGCACCUUCGGGUGUGACUGCGUACCUUUUGUAUAAUGGGUCAGCGACUUAUAUUCUGUAGCAAGGUUAACCGUAUAGGGGAGCCGCAGGGAAACCGAGUCUUAACUGGGCGUUAAGUUGCAGGGUAUAGACCCGAAACCCGGUGAUCUAGCCAUGGGCAGGUUGAAGGUUGGGUAACACUAACUGGAGGACCGAACCGACUAAUGUUGAAAAAUUAGCGGAUGACUUGUGGCUGGGGGUGAAAGGCCAAUCAAACCGGGAGAUAGCUGGUUCUCCCCGAAAGCUAUUUAGGUAGCGCCUCGUGAACUCAUCUUCGGGGGUAGAGCACUGUUUCGGCUAGGGGGUCAUCCCGACUUACCAACCCGAUGCAAACUACGAAUACCGAAGAAUGUUAUCACGGGAGACACACGGCGGGUGCUAACGUCCGUCGUGAAGAGGGAAACAACCCAGACCGCCAGCUAAGGUCCCAAAGUCAUGGUUAAGUGGGAAACGAUGUGGGAAGGCACAGACAGCCAGGAUGUUGGCUUAGAAGCAGCCAUCAUUUAAAGAAAGCGUAAUAGCUCACUGGUCGAGUCGGCCUGCGCGGAAGAUGUAACGGGGCUAAACCAUGCACCGAAGCUGCGGCAGCGACACUAUGUGUUGUUGGGUAGGGGAGCGUUCUGUAAGCCUGCGAAGGUGUGCUGUGAGGCAUGCUGGAGGUAUCAGAAGUGCGAAUGCUGACAUAAGUAACGAUAAAGCGGGUGAAAAGCCCGCUCGCCGGAAGACCAAGGGUUCCUGUCCAACGUUAAUCGGGGCAGGGUGAGUCGACCCCUAAGGCGAGGCCGAAAGGCGUAGUCGAUGGGAAACAGGUUAAUAUUCCUGUACUUGGUGUUACUGCGAAGGGGGGACGGAGAAGGCUAUGUUAGCCGGGCGACGGUUGUCCCGGUUUAAGCAUGUAGGCUGGUUGUCCAGGCAAAUCCGGAUAAUCAAGGCUGAGGUGUGAUGACGAGGCACUACGGUGCUGAAGUAACAAAUGCCCUGCUUCCAGGAAAAGCCUCUAAGCAUCAGGUAACAUCAAAUCGUACCCCAAACCGACACAGGUGGUCAGGUAGAGAAUACCAAGGCGCUUGAGAGAACUCGGGUGAAGGAACUAGGCAAAAUGGUGCCGUAACUUCGGGAGAAGGCACGCUGGUGUGUAGGUGAAGUCCCUGCGGAUGGAGCUGAGACCAGUCGAAGAUACCAGCUGGCUGCAACUGUUUAUUAAAAACACAGCACUGUGCAAACACGAAAGUGGACGUAUACGGUGUGACGCCUGCCCGGUGCCGGAAGGUUAAUUGAUGGGGUUAUCCGUAAGGAGAAGCUCUUGAUCGAAGCCCCGGUAAACGGCGGCCGUAACUAUAACGGUCCUAAGGUAGCGAAAUUCCUUGUCGGGUAAGUUCCGACCUGCACGAAUGGCGUAAUGAUGGCCAGGCUGUCUCCACCCGAGACUCAGUGAAAUUGAACUCGCUGUGAAGAUGCAGUGUACCCGCGGCAAGACGGAAAGACCCCGUGAACCUUUACUAUAGCUUGACACUGAACAUUGAGCCUUGAUGUGUAGGAUAGGUGGGAGGCUUUGAAGCGUGGACGCCAGUCUGCGUGGAGCCAACCUUGAAAUACCACCCUUUAAUGUUUGAUGUUCUAACGUUGGCCCCUGACCGGGGUUGCGGACAGUGUCUGGUGGGUAGUUUGACUGGGGCGGUCUCCUCCCAAAGCGUAACGGAGGAGCACGAAGGUUAGCUAAUCCUGGUCGGACAUCAGGAGGUUAGUGCAAUGGCAUAAGCUAGCUUGACUGCGAGCGUGACGGCGCGAGCAGGUGCGAAAGCAGGUCAUAGUGAUCCGGUGGUUCUGAAUGGAAGGGCCAUCGCUCAACGGAUAAAAGGUACUCCGGGGAUAACAGGCUGAUACCGCCCAAGAGUUCAUAUCGACGGCGGUGUUUGGCACCUCGAUGUCGGCUCAUCACAUCCUGGGGCUGAAGUAGGUCCCAAGGGUAUGGCUGUUCGCCAUUUAAAGUGGUACGCGAGCUGGGUUUAGAACGUCGUGAGACAGUUCGGUCCCUAUCUGCCGUGGGCGCUGGAGAAUUGAGGGGGGCUGCUCCUAGUACGAGAGGACCGGAGUGGACGCAUCACUGGUGUUCGGGUUGUCAUGCCAAUGGCACUGCCCGGUAGCUAAAUGCGGAAGAGAUAAGUGCUGAAAGCAUCUAAGCACGAAACUUGCCCCGAGAUGAGUUCUCCCUGAGACUUUAAGUCUCCUGAAGGAACGUUAAAGACGAUGACGUUGAUAGGCCGGGUGUGUAAGCGCAGCGAUGCGUUGAGCUAACCGGUACUAAUGAACCGUGAGGCUUAACCUU